GACUUGGCUGUUGUAUUACGCUUUAAAUGGAAUUGAUUGUGUGGUUGUAAUGAAAGUAAUAGAUUGAUUUCUACCCAGGCUCACAAAGAGUAAAUAGAAAAGCAUUCCUGUCUUGACCUACAUUCAUAACCAGUGUGACUUGCUGGAUUUAGACCCAAAUCUUAGGAAAGACAACAUGCACAUGUAAUGAAGACGGUUUGAAGUUUAAAUUUUUAAAAUAGUUUUUAAUGAUUUCUCUGGUUACCAUUUUUGUAUCAAUUAGAUCAUAGUCACCCAAGAAGUAUUUCUUUGCUUAAAACCUUUGCAUAAUUUCUCAUGUAACUGGCAUUCCUAAACUAGAGUCUUUAUGAAUAUACUAAAAUAUUAGCAUGAAUUUUGAAACAGUAGUAUCUACCUUAGUAUCUGUAAGUUUGAAUGCUAUUUUAGUGAUUUAAGCCUAUGACAUUUUUAAACUUUGGAUUUAUUGACUAUUUUUAUGACUAAGAUAUUUUGUUGGUGAAGUACAACAUGAAAUACUAGGAAACACACAGCAUCACUGUGUUUUCACCAUCGUGUUCGUGGUUUUUAUGAAGAAGCAUUCCUGCUGGAUCUAGAAUCAUUGACUUCUUUACUGAAUAAUGAAAUAUUUGUUUGUAAUAACACGCGCAGUAUCUUUCUUUCAUCUUUUCUUGAUAAUUUAGAAGAUAAACACACACAAAUAUUACACACAUACCACACACACACACACACAUAUAUGUGUAUAUGUAUAUAUAUAUGCUAUCAGUUUGGACUUUGAAAGCCUGUGUCCUACAUACCCUUCUAUAAUAAAACUUCAGGAAACAAAACAAAGAGUUUAAUUUGAAAACAUGUUUUUGUUAUGAAUGGAGGAAUGGAAGAUUAAAAGAACUUACAAACAACAACAACAACAACAACAACAAAAACCCAACCCCAACAAUCCCUCUGUAAGGAGCAGUUGUUUCUCACACAUUCUGUGACUCCUUUGGAUUUGUUUUAUGUUUGGGUAAAACACUUUAGUGUAAUGAUGCCUAAAUGAGACAAAACAAAACAAAAUAAAAACAAAAUGCAACACAUAAAAGUUGGAAACGACAAAGAGAUAAAACCAAACCAAAAAAAAAAAAAAAAAAACAAACAAACAAACAAACCCCAAAAAACAAAAACCAAGGGACACAUUUGACUCCUGGUGUUUCUGAGUCGGAGCUUCAAGCUCUUUCUAUUCUUCCCAGCCCACUCGAUUACCCUGCAGGUUGUGGCAGACAAUUCCCAGGAAAAGCUUAGACACGGAGCCUGCUUGCUUCUUGACUCCAUUUUAAACCUUUUGUUCACACCAGGGUGGCAUUUUUUCACACCACAUGUGGCAAUUUUGACUCCUAGCCAACUUGUCUUACAAAAUCAAAGUCUGCAGGGUUUCCCCACCCCCACCCCCUCUGUUCACAAGGAGCUUACUGAACUCUGACUGCUGGAGAGUCUUCCCUAGCUAUUGGUGCAGAAGUUUAUGGAAAAAUGUUUUUCCAGAGAGAGAAAGGGAGAGAGGGGAAGAAGACAGGCAGAGUGAGAAAUGUCCUGCCUUGAAACACUGCAGAUGAAUUCUUAGAUAGAAUAGAUGUUAACUCUGCAAAUAUUACUUGUGAAAAAAAACACAGAGAGCUCUAUGCUUAUUAAUUUUUAGCAUUAUGCUUAAUGUUAAUUAUAAAAUCAGGAUAAUUAAAGAAAACACUAAGGAGAUGUAAAUUCCAAUAUGAUCAUGUCAUUUUAAAAAGCUGCCAUGUAAUAAUAAAAUGAAAAUAUCUGCGGGUACAUAUUGUCUUUACCCUGCAUUUUACAAUACUCACUAGGAGCGAAUGGAUGUUCCUUUUGUAUAUGAUACUGAACAUGCUGUGUUUGAUACUAUCUCUAGCCAGGAGUAAAAGAAAAGGUUCUUCUAGAACUGUAUGCUGUGAACCCCAUCAAUGAAAUAACUGCUCCUACUUCAUCUUUUUAAAGAGAAUUUUCUUUCAUUCUUACUUGUUUCCUUUAAAGGGUGCCUCACUCAUUCACAUUUUGUAAUGGCAAAUUGCAAAACUAUAGCUGAGAAAUGAUAUAAAACGCACUCACCAGCAAGUAAUGGAAGAAACAGUAUUUUACCAAAUUCAAAGGUUUGUGCAGAGGCUGUUCCUCUAUUUCUAGGAGGGACAUGAAGGAACACAAAUCUCUGAGUAUAUGUGAUGUUAUAGAUAACAAGGCAGAUGCAACUGUAUGUAGGUUUCCCCUGGGUAAGCUUACCCUGUUUUCUUUUUAUUUAUUUAUACUAAUAAGAACAUUUAAAGAUAGACAUUAAAAACAUUUCUUCAACAUACAUAUUAAUUCAUUAUCUGUGUAAGAAUGUCAGUAGAAGGUGGUUGUUUUAGUCAACCCAUGGGUGGUAAUUGUAUGACUGCUUAGUUUUUCUGCAGUAGCACAGUAAUCAUAUGUUUUAAUCGUAAGUGACAAAUCACAAGGCAAAAGGGAAAUCAGAUAUUGGAAGCCAUAGUAAACAUCUGUAAAGUAUCAAAUAUCAAGACCAAAGAGACUUAUUGCUUAUUGAUAUGGCAUGAAAAUAUACUAAAGUUUUUUGCUAAAACGUCGGCACAGAGGAACAAAGCCUUUGUAGUCAAUGUGAGCUGCAUGUUUUAUUUAUCAAAAUAACAACACUAUUGUGCAGUAAGGAAAGAAAUAUAGAACAGCUACAUGUGAGGGCAUGUAUGCCUUUGCUCCCUUCACUCAGACAACAUGUAAGUAAACUCACUGCAUUUGAAUUAUUCACUGCAGGGUUUACAAUAAGAAAUUUAUCUGGUAAAUUGAAAAGACCUCAAUUAAGAAGCAUGCACAAACUCACACUCAUACACAGUCAUAUACACACAUGCAUGCUAUGGGUAACUGUAAAACAAGAGAUAGUCCAUCAGAGCUUAAGAGAGAGAGGGCAGCCUGGUUUCCAGCAGAAGAUGACUAGCAGGCAGAACCUCGUAGCUUUCCCUUAACACAGGGCAGUUACUUCGGUUAACUUAGAAAAAGAAUGGAAAAUACAAAGCAUGUGAUUUCCAGGAAUAGAUAAACCCAGACUCACUGCUUAAAAAUUAAUUGCAGAUGGGUUUAUAUUCCGAGUUUUUUUUUUAUGGUGCCUGAAUAUUUAUAAAGUACAUGGUUUGCUUUUCAGUUAAUUUAAAAACUGACCUUUGUACAAAUAGAAAGGAAAGCAUUUUUUUUUUUUGCAUCUAGAAAUAAAAUGUACAGAGGUCAAAUGAAACUAUUUUCAUUUAAGCUAGAACAAAGAAGCUAAAGGAAACAAAAUAUCUGGUCAAACAUGUACCUGUGUUCAACCCUCACAGAAUGCUAACCAGAAUCUAAACAAACAAAACAAAAC
rnacentral:lncRNA from 1 species